AAUACAUAUAUCAACAUACUUUCCAAUUAAAUCAAUAAAAUGCAUGCACUCUACUUGAAGUCUUUUAUCUUGUUCUCUCAAUUUUUCGCUUAUUCGGCCGCUUACGCCAAUAAUCGCUCCGAUGGAUCCUCGUAAUUUCCCCCUUGAUAUCGAAUUAAAAUCCCCAAAAUUAAUAAAAGUAAUUAAAUUAUCGCAAGCAUUUUUCCCUCGAGCUGUAUUUAUUUCGGACUUAGGAUAUAAUUAUUCAUUCGUUGAAAUAUUCCGGAAUUAAUUAAAUAAUUCGCCACUAUUAAUUAUCGGCCCAAAGAUUUAAUUAAAAGCCUCAAGUUUAAUUAUUUCCCCACCUUAUAUCUCCAACUACAAAUUAAAGCCCCACAAUUAAAUGGAGCCCAUCUUUAAUAAUUUACCCAUGUCAACUAAUGAAGCCCAACUAAUCAAAACAUCUCAUUUAAAUUAAAGAGGCCCAAACAUCCAAUUAAUAGCAAAAGCCCAAAAUCAAAAUGUACUUCCCCCCUCACAUUCACACUCUCGGUUCUCUCUCUUCUCUCUCCCUCUUCUUUCUCUCUCCCGUCGAAAAAAAAUAGAUCCGUCGGCUUCUCCGACUCCUCAUCCACCGCCGCCGGCCGCUGCUGUCACGAUGGUCAUCCAGCUUCGCCAGCCGCUGUCGUCGCUGCUGUCCGUUGUCGCCGCUGCUGCGCAGUCAUUCGAUCCAGCCGCGGGGAGGGGUGCCGCCGCCGGUGGUCGUGCAGCCGUCGCUGGGAGGAGAUGCUGCUGCCGACCGCGUACACCACCAACGUCGCUCGACCCGUCGCAGGUUCGAGCUGCACCACCCGUCGACGCACACGCCGCUCCUGCAGCCCCGAUUUAACCAGCCCCGUUUUCAACCGAAGAGAUCGGUUCUUAUUCAAAAAUGCGAAUUUAUGUUUCAAAUCUGGGUAGGAAGUUACCUCUGUGAAUUGAGUUUGGAUUGUGAAGUUCACAAGGCUAAAAAGGCAGGGUCUUGAUGCCGAAAGGACUCCAAUUUCUUGAGUAGAAGUUGAAGAAUGAUUUUCGCUUUCUUUUUUGCAGCUACGUUGGGUGAGAAGAAGAAGUAAUGGUUGAAGAUUUAAUAUAGGGGAAAGGGGGUUAAGGAUAUGAGAGAGAUUUGUGGGAUGGGUGGAAACGGUUUCAACGUGGGAUAGGGAGUGGGAUGAUUCUGUUUUCCCUUUUUUUUAAUAU